rnacentral:sRNA from 1 species
CACACACACAUCUGCACCUCAACCACAGACUACACUUGCUGAACUGGCUCCUGGGGCCAUGAGGCUGUCACUGCCACUGCUGCUGCUGCUGCUGGGAGCCUGGGCCAUCCCAGGGGGCCUCGGGGACAGGGCGCCACUCACAGCCACAGCCCCACAACUGGAUGAUGAGGAGAUGUACUCAGCCCACAUGCCCGCUCACCUGCGCUGUGAUGCCUGCAGAGCUGUGGCUUACCAGGCCCAUCCUUGAGUCCGGACUCCCUCCCCAAGCCUGACAGGGCGGCUUUGGCUAUGUGUACAUGGUGCAAGUGCACACGUGUGAGCGCCUGCACGUGAGUAUGCGUGUGUCUGGCUUCACACACACACCUGCUGAGCAUGCCUGCGUGCCAGUGUCUCUGUGAGGUGGGGGCCUGGGAGUACUUGUGUGAUUGAAUAUUGGGCUCCAGUUUUUCUUACCUUGCUCUUGUGGUUUAAAAUGGCACGUGCCGGCCGGGCGCGGUGGCUCACGCCUGUAAUCCCAGCACUUUGGGAGGCUGAGCGGGGCCGAUCGCCUGAACUCAGGAGUUCGAGACCAGCCUGGCCAACAUGGUGAAACCCCGUCACUACUGAAAAUACAAAAUUUUAGCCGGGUGUGGUGGCACACACCUGUAGUCCCAGCUACCUGGGAGGCUGAGGGAGAAGAAUCACUUGAACCUGGGAGGUGGAGGCUGCAGUGAGCUGAGAUCGUACCACUGCACUCCAGCCUGGGCGACGAACGGCGUGAGACUCUCUCUAAAUAAAUAAAUAAAUAAAAAUAAAAUGACACUUGCCACUGGGCAGGUGUGCCCUGGAGGAGGGACCCCAGUGCCCAGGCCUCACCUACCACUUCAGCAUUUCUUUCCCAUCCCCCACCCCCAUCCCAGAGAGCUUUGGGGGCUGGGGGAGGGGCCAUGCAACAGCCUCACAGGUGCUUCCUGCUCAAACGGCUCUCUUGCCACUUUAUUCUCCCCAGAGACUCUGCUCCUAUCCUCCCCACCUCCCCCUAACUGAGCAGCAGUCCUGAGGCCCUGCCUCCCAGUCCCUC